GACGAACGCUGGCGGCGUGCUUAACACAUGCAAGUCGAACGGAAAGGCCCGGCGCUUGUGGGUUGCUCGAGUGGCGAACGGGGGAGUAACACGCGAGUAACCCGCCCCUGACAGUGGGAUAACUUCAGGAAAAUGGGGCUAUUACCGGGUAGGAGCUCCUGCUGCACGGGGGGCGAUGGAAAGUUUCGGCGGUGGGGGAUGGUCUCGCGGCUUACCAGCUGGUUGGGGGGGUAGGGGCUGUCAAGGGCUUUGACGGGUAGCCGGCCUGGGAGGGUGGCCGGCCACAUUGCGCCUACGAGACGGCUCAGACUCCUACGGGCGGCAGCAGUGGGGAAUAUUGCGCAAUGGGCGGACGCCUGAUGCAGCAACCCCGCGUGCGUGAUGACGUCCUUCGGGUUGUAAACCGCUUUCGACUGUGACGAAGCGUGCGUGACGGUAAUGGGUCAGGAAGCACCGGCUAACUACGUG
rnacentral:rRNA from 1 species